UUCCGGUUGAUCCUGCCGGACCCGACUGCUAUCAGAGUGGGACUAAGCCAUGCGAGUUAACGUAGUAAUACGUGGCAUACGGCUCAGUAACACGUAGUCAACAUGCCCAGGGGACGUGGAUAACCUCGGGAAACUGAGGAUAAACCGCGAUAGGUCACGAUUUCUGGAAUGAUUCAUGGCCCAAAUCUAUAUGGCCCCUGGAUUGGACUGCGGCCGAUCAGGCUGUUGGUGAGGUAAUGGCCCACCAAACCUGUUACCGGUACGGGCUCUGAGAGGAGGAGCCCGGAGAUGGGCACUGAGACAAGGGCCCAGGCCCUAUGGGGCGCAACAGGCGCGAAACCUCUGCAAUAAGCGAAAGCCCUGACAGGUUUACUCUGAGU
rnacentral:rRNA from 1 species